AAAGUUACGAAGAUGGCUCCGAAGGCAAGCGGCAAAGCUGUUAAAAAAGCCGGGAAAGCCGUGAAGAACAUCACGAAAGGGGACAAAAAGAAGCACAAGAAGAAGAGGAAGGAGAGUUACGCUAUCUACAUUUACAAGGUGCUGAAGCAGGUCCACCCGGACACCGGUGUCUCGAGCAAGGCGAUGAGCAUCAUGAACAGCUUCGUCAACGACAUCUUCGAGCGCAUCGCCGCCGAAGCCUCUCGCUUAGCUCACUACAAUAAGAGGUCGACCAUCACCUCCCGGGAGAUCCAGACCGCUGUCAGGCUUUUGCUUCCUGGCGAACUCGCCAAGCACGCCGUCAGUGAGGGUACAAAGGCUGUUACUAAGUACACCAGCUCCAAAUAGAUUGGACGUGCUCAUCUUUUUUUUAUAAUUAUUAACAAUCGGCCCUUUUCAGGGCCAACAUAAUUUUCAAACGUUGAACAAAUUACUUCCAAACUUAAAAUUAAUGUACCUUUUAAUAUGUACAAAUUCAUUGUAAUCAAUACAAUUUGUAUAGUUCAUUAAUUGUAUGCAUCAAUCAGACUACAAAAAGUUCAUCGUGUACUCAUCUACAAAGCUCUCUUACAACUCAAUACAUUAGUAGAACAUUCAUAAUUCAUAUGCACUUUAGGUACUCCCUCAUCUAUAGUUUCUGCUCGCAUGAUCACUAUACUGCAGCAAAACAAUACAUUCAAAUUCCUAACCUUUUAUAAGUACGCUUUUAACCUUCAUACAGUGCACACUCCUGCAUUCUUAUACUUACCUCGUUUCUGCAUUAUAUGUUUCAAAUGUAAUAAAAACAAUAGAACAUCAAAAUGGUUCGUAAAUAUAAAAGAAAAGGUCAGAGACAACUGUGGAGUAAAGAUUCCAUGAGAACGGCUAUAGAAGCUGUUAUUAGUAACAAUAUGAGUGUCAGGAGAGCCUCCAUAGAACACAAGAUACCUCAGGCAACGCUGUCCAGGAAAAUUCACCAAAUUCGGUCUGGACCCCCGAAAGACAUAGAGCUGAUUGUUAAGCCUUGGGGAUCGAAUUUUCAAACAGUAUUUAACAAAGAGCAGGAGUCAGUUUUAUGCGAGUUUAUUCAUACAUUAGAGAAUCAAUUCAUUCCAUUUAAUAGUAUGGAUGUCAGGAAAUUAGCUUACCAAUUGGCUGAAAAAUUCAAUGUUCCUCACCCUUUUAAUAAAGACUUUGCUGUGGCAGGAGAUGAUUGGUACAAAGGAUUUUUAAAGCGGAAUCCAGAGAUUUGCAUAAAAAAACUCGAUAUAAAUGAAAAAACCAAAGACAUGAAGAAAGCCCAAGUUUACAAAUUUUUUGACUUAUUGGAAGGUUUAACCGAUAAGCAUCAGUUGGAAGCUUGUGAUAUUUACAAUCUUGAUGAAACUGUUAUAACUUGCUCGUUAAACACUAAUGAAGAUGAAGCUAAAAAUACAGAAGAAUCAAGUGGUCAGAACAAAUUAGUUACAGCAACAGUAUGUUUUUCAGCUAGUGGAGCAUAUGCACCACUUAUGUUAAUUUUUCCAUGCUCGACCUACAAGAAUUCCAUUCUUAAAGGUGCACCACCUGGAGCAUGGGCUGAAUACGAUCAAAGUGGACAAAUGCAGUUAGAUAUUUUUGUCACUUGGUUGAAGAAGUUCAUAAAGUUUUCUAAAGCAUCUAAGCACUCUCCAGUUCUUCUUAUUGUGGAUGCAUAUCAUACCUUUUUAAAAAAAUUACAUGUACUUGAAUUAGCCAAGGAAAAUGGAGUAAACAUAUUAUGUUUGCCUCCGUAUUGCACUGAAAAGUUUCAACCUAUGCAGCAAGAAUUCAUGAAUUCAUUAAGUACUGCUUAUACAAGUGAAGUUGCAAAAUGGACACGCUCUAAUCCUGGACGUUCGGUUUCCACAGAAGAAGUUUAUCAACUAUUUGGAAAUGCGUUUAUGAAAAUUUCAACAAUGGCAUUGCCCGUGCAUGGUUUUCAUAGGACAGGGAUUUGGCCUAUAGACAGAGAUCAACUUGAGAAUGUGUUUGUUGAAUUUUCUGAAAAAGGUUCGAUUGAAACAAACUACAAUAUUUUAUUGAUUAACACUUGUAGAAUUGUGAUGCAGAGAAAGUGAAUCACUAAUCUACUUUAAAUCUACCAAGGGCUGCUGUAAAAGAGGCAAGUUCCAGCAUAAAUGAUAGUUUUGUUGAAAUGGCAGUUAUACCAGAAAAAGUAGUAUCCAAAGAAAUUGUGCAGAAACCAGUUGUUGUUAUUACACAAAGCCAUAAUCAGUCAUAUGUUGUACAAUCACUUGAAACAAUAAAUCAACAGAAUAUGGAAUUUAUACAACAAACAUUCAUCCAAGAAUCUCUUGAUCAAGCUCAAGUGAUUGAGCACUAUUCUGUGGUUGAUGAACAACAUACAGAAUCUAUAAUAAUAGAAAACGCGACUCCAGUAAUACAGGAAACUGAAGAAUCUCAAAUAGAUGACGAACUAAGUUCAGUAAUCAUUCCUCCAGAGGCACAGUUAUGUGAAGUACAAUUCGAAGACUUACAAAAUUUAAUUCAGAGUCGAAAAAGACUUCAUUAUUAUGUUUCUCCUUACAGAUUUAAUCUAUCGCGAUAAAAUUUGGAAUAUUUCAAAAUGUGUACAGAAAUUUUUAUAUAAGUUUGAAAUAUGUUAUUGUUUUUAACAUUUGUAUAUGCAUCGUCUUUUUUCAUGUUUUGAAUGACUCUUUUUUUAUUAAAACUAGAUAUGUAUAUUUUCAAAUUUGGCAUAAGGGGGUCGGCAGUGUAAAAUAGUGGGAAAAACUUUCUCAAUGUAUUUAACAAUCAUUUUUACGUAAUAUAUGUAUAAGAGUAUGUGUGUGUGCGUGUGUUUUAAAAAUUUAAAAGAUGAAUAUAGUAACGUAGCCGUUAAUGUGAAACGAAAUUUUUAAUGGUUUGUUAAAAUUGUAUCAAAAAAGUUAACUUAUUUUUAUAUAAAUUAUGUAAUUCUAGUAAGCAGCAAUUUUAUAUAAAAACAUUACAAAACCUAA